rnacentral:lncRNA from 1 species
ACUUUUGGACUGUCUGGCAUUGUGGCCAGCACGUGACUGUGGUUAUUUGGGGCAAGCAGGGGUGCCCAAGUCCAGACACAUCUCCUCCCAGGCCUGUCCCUCACUGACACAUCUGGCCCUGGCUUCAUUUAUUCAGGAGAGAUCUAUGGACUACCGCCAUGAGGCACGCUCACUCUCUGUUCAGACCUGACGGCGGAUCCCGAGCCACGGACCCUGGCGUUCUCCCCACAGA